CUUCUUAACCGUUCCCACAUCUUUUCAACCUAGCUGCUGCUGUUGUCAGACUUUUCAGAUCUACAGGUACGAUUUUUCACCGCAUCUAUUUUAUUUUGUUUGUUUUUUCUUUUCGAUUUUGUUGAAUCAUGUUAUCAAAUCAGUAUUCUAUAUGCACUUCUGUUUUUUUUUUUUUUGUUAUUCAAUCAAUACCAUACUUUUUAUGCUUUUGUGAUUGCAAGUUGGGUGGCGUUUAACCUGGGAAUGGGGAGUUUUUCCCCACCAUGGGAAAGCUCCCCUUUCCAGGACACCUGUUAGUGGAUAACCUAUUUGAGAAAAAUAAAUAAAAAACUGAAAAUUGUUAUUUAAUGUUGUUUGUUUUUUCUAGCAUACCUCCCCUCUUUACUAUUGUUCCACCUCACUUCUAUUAGGGUUUGUUUGGUUAACCCCAAAAAAGAGUUUUUAGCUUAUAGCUUAUAAGCUCGUUUGACAAAAAAAGCUCUGUUUGGUAACACUUUUUCACCAUGAGCUUAUAGCUUAUUUCACGAGCUUAUAAGCUAUUUUUCAAAAGCUAUUCCAAGUAGCGUUUGAGCUUAUAGCUUCUCACUUUUUCUUCCAAUUUUACCCUUAUUAUUUCAUUUAAAUUGUAUUUUUAUCCAUUAUAAUUUUUAUAAUAAGCUACGUAAUAAAGACUCCUAUCCCUUUAUUCCAUUUUUUGUAUAUAUAUCAGUUGACCUUUUUUUUUUUGAAAAAAUAUAUACCUUCGCUUUUUUUUUUUUUUUUUUACGAAACAAAAUACUAUUAUUCUAUUAGUGUUAUUUUUUUUGUUGAGGUAAGUGUUAUUUUCUUUAUUCUCUGUUAUUAGUAUUACUUUAUUAGUGCUACUUUUUUUUUUUUGAGGUAAAUGUUAUUUUUUUUAUAAAGUGGAAAUACUUAAUGAUAAUAAAUAUAAGAUAAAAUUUUGGUAAAUAAAAUUUAAUUUAAUUUAUAAUACAUAGGAUAUAAUUUUUAUUAUGAAUUAAGAAUACCCUUUAUGUCAUUUUACAUUUAUCAGCUAGUUGAACCGCUGUUUUUACCAAACACUUCAGUUAGCUUAUCAGCUAAAAACUAUUAGCUAACUUAUCAGCUAUCCGCUAUUUUUACCAAACAGAGCCUUGUUUCAUUUCGAGAAGAUCAUCUCAUUCAUUUCACAAGACCUUCUCUCCAACGGUUUUUUUUCUUUUCUUUGACAACAACAAAACUCCUUCUCUCCAACAGCAGCCACUAUUCUCCCUCACAAUUUUUCUUCAGCUGUUGAAAGUUGAAACACUACAUUUUCAUCUUCAAACAUGUAAACGCAAAAGAAGAAAAAACAAAUAAAACAUAAAAAAUCCAGAAAAAAAUCUCAAUUUCAUUUCUUCUAGAUCUAAUCUUAAAUUAAUUCAUUUCUUUGUUGUUGAUUAAUGAAAAUAACACCAUUCUUCAUCACUCAUUCACUCUCAAGUCCUCUUUCUCUCCUCGUCGUCGAACCCCAAAGAGCAUCGAUGUCGUACCUAUUUGGAUCUCUUAAGAACAACAACAAAGAUGGUGUUGUGGUUCCUGAUUUUUUAGUGUUUUUUUAGUCCCCAUGUUUGUUGUUUCAAUCUCUAGUGGUGAAAGAUCAGAUUUGGGAAGAAUUGAUGAAGAUGGUGGGUAGUGAGUUGUGGAGAAGGUUUCACAAAAAGAUGCAAAAUAAUUUUGGUGAAUGAAGGAAAAAAAAUGGGUAAAAUGAAUUAGAUUUUUUUUUUAGUGAAUCAAAGGGUUUUUGGGUUGGUUGAGUUAGAUGAUGAAGACAGAGAAUUUGAUGAUGAAUUAAUAAUAAAACAGUUGGGAAAAAAUAAUUAAAUGAAGACAGAUUUUUUUUUUCCAGGUGUUGUUGUUUUUUUAAUUUGAUUUUAGAACGUAGUUGUUUUUUUUAAAUAACUGUAAUUAAUAAAUGGAUCCUGCUAACAGGUGUCCGGGACACGGGUUAAACAUAUCAUAAAAAUGAAUUAUUACCAUAAAAGGAAAUUGUUUUUGACUUUAUUAUAAAUUAAUUAUACAAUUUCAAUGCAUUAACUAUUAUGUAACUUUCUUUUUCAUACCCUUAACCAGUGUCCGGAGACAGCGGUUAGUAUUUUCCUUAAUUAAAAAUGUCAUUUAAGGUAUUGUGAAUUAAUAAUAUCCUUUUAAAAACAAAUUAAUUUCUUGUGUAAAUUAAAAUUAAUAUGACAACAUUAUUAUCAAUGAAUUGCCAGGCACAUCCGAAAAUUUGAGUUGGAACAAAAAAGUUCAAAACGUCAGGCCCAUGAAGCAAAUGAAAAAUUGUUGUUUAAACAAUUGGUGGGAUCCACUGCUGCAGUUCACAGUAUCAAGCAACUAAGUUAUAAUAAUUAGAAAAAUGUUACGUAAACACCAUUUAUUCAUACAUUCCAUUGUACACCCCGUAUAUUAGGGAUAUUUUGGUAAGUUCAUCUCACAACCACACUUUAUCUUCUAUUUAUGUGGGGUUUAGAUUGCCACGUGUCAGAAUUUUAUGUAGGUGUAAAGGGUGUAUUGCCACAUGGGAUGCUACAUGUAUCACCACUCUAAUAAUUAAUAGGUCACAAAUCUUAGCCAUCCAAAUAAAAAACUAAUAAAUUUAUGGUUGUGGUUCAACUUUUACAUGAUGGGAAAGAACUUUCCUUUCCCAUAUUAAACCCACCUGCAAGUUGCAUGUUCCUUUAUUCAUGUACAUAUGUUUGCUAUAUAUGACUCAAAAUCAACCAAAUCAAAGUCAAAGUAAAACAACAUGUCAACCUCAUAAAUAUGUAUAUUAAGAAUAUUUAAUAGGCAAAUUCUAUGGUACACCUAAAAAUUUUGGUGUAUUGGUACAC
rnacentral:lncRNA from 1 species